UGGGGAAUAUUGCACAAUGGGCGCAAGCCUGAUGCAGCCAUGCCGCGUGUGUGAAGAAGGCCUUCGGGUUGUAAAGCACUUUUGUCCGGAAAGAAAUCCUUGGCUCUAAUACAGUCGGGGGAUGACGGUACCGGAAGAAUAAGCACCGGCUAACUACGUGCCAGCAGCCGCGGUAAUACGUAGGGUGCAAGCGUUAAUCGGAAUUACUGGGCGUAAAGCGUGCGCAGGCGGUUUGCUAAGACCGAUGUGAAAUCCCCGGGCUCAACCUGGGAACUGCAUUGGUGACUGGCAGGCUAGAGUAUGGCAGAGGGGGGUAGAAUUCCACGUGUAGCAGGUGAAAUGCGUAGAGUGUGGAGGAAUACCGAUGGCGAAGGCAGCCCCCUGGGCCAAUACUGACGCUCAUGCACGAAAGCGUGGGGAGCAAACAGGAUUAGAUACCCCUGGUAGUCCACGCCCUAAACGAUGUCAACUAGUUGUUGGGGAUUCAUUUCCUUAGUAACGUAGCUAACGCGUGAAGUU
rnacentral:rRNA from 1 species